rnacentral:rRNA from 1 species
AGCGAACGCUGGCGGCAGGCCUAACACAUGCAAGUCGAACGGACCCUUCGGGGUUAGUGGCGGACGGGUGAGUAACACGUGGGAACGUGCCUUUAGGUUCGGAAUAGCUCCUGGAAACGGGUGGUAAUGCCGAAUGUGCCCUUCGGGGGAAAGAUUUAUCGCCUUUAGAGCGGCCCGCGUCUGAUUAGCUAGUUGGUGAGGUAAUGGCUCACCAAGGCGACGAUCAGUAGCUGGUCUGAGAGGAUGACCAGCCACAUUGGGACUGAGACACGGCCCAAACUCCUACGGGAGGCAGCAGUGGGGAAUCUUGCGCAAUGGGCGAAAGCCUGACGCAGCCAUGCCGCGUGGAUGAUGAAGGUCUUAGGAUUGUAAAAUCCUUUCACCGGUGAAGAUAAUGACUGUAGCCGGAGAAGAAGCCCCGGCUAACUUCGUGCCAGCAGCCGCCGUAA